AUUGAACGCUGGCGGCAGGCCUAACACAUGCAAGUCGAACGAGUGGCGGACGGGUGAGUAAUGUCUGGGAAACUGCCUGAUGGAGGGGGAUAACUACUGGAAACGGUAGCUUAUACCGCUUACCAUCAGAUGCGCCCAGAUGGGAUUAGCUAGUAGGUGGGGUAAUGGCUCACCUAGGCGACGAUCUCUAGCGGGUCUGAGAGGAGGACCAGCCACACUGGAACUAAGACACGGUCCAGACUCCUACGGGAGGCAGCAGUGGAGAGUAUUGCAAAAUGGGCGCAAGCCUGAUGCAACCAUGCCGCGUAUAUGAAGAAGGCCUUCGGGUUGAAAAGCACUUUCAGCGAGGAGGCGUUACUCGCAGAAGAAGCACCGGCUGACUCCAUGCCAGCAGCCGCGGAAAUAC
rnacentral:rRNA from 1 species